rnacentral:rRNA from 1 species
GACGAACGCUGGCGGCGUGCCUAAUACAUGCAAGUCGAACGCAGUGGGGACGGGUGAGUAACACGUGGGUAACCUCCCAUCAGCGGGGAUAACACUUGGAAACAGGUGCUAAACCGAUACUGAUGGAUGGACCCGCGGUGCAUUAGCUAGUUGGUGAGGUAAAGGCUCACCAAGGCCACGAUUCAUAGCCGACCUGAGAGGGUGAUCGGCCACACUGGGACUGAGAAACGGCCCAGACUCCUACGGUAGGCAGCAGUAGGGAAGCUUCGGCAAUGGACGAAAGUCUGACCGAGCAACGCCGCGGGAGGGAAGAAGGUUUUCGGAUCGUAAAACUCUGUUGUUAGAGAAGCGGUAGCUAACCAGAAAGCCACGGCUAACGACGGGCCAGCAGCCGCGGGAAUACC